CGCAAGCAGCUUUUAGGAGAAUCAAACGAUUUCGUGGAUCAUCCUGCUUAACGCGCAACCCGGUCACCGGAGACGGAGUUGACGUGACGCCUGUGAGGCGCAGCGCACGAAGGUGUCGAGAUGGUAACCCGGUAACCGGAACUGGCUACGCAGAGUCGCAGAACAACGGGCCUGCGGUGCAAAACGGAACGUCCAGCUCGAAUUCCAGCGAGAAGUCGAACGACACGUCGCCGGCAGCGAAGGUUCCGGCACGCACACGCGUGCCACCCGGUGGAUACUCAUCUGGACUAUGGUAAAAACGCGGCCUCGCGGACGAAGCCGCCGAUCGGCCAUCCUCCUUUCGAUCGGAAAAACCCCCUUCCAGCACCGGCAAUUUCGGAGGAAAACCGAGAGCUCUCCGAAAACUCGAUUCCAGUAGUAGAAAAAAAAAAGAAAAAAAGAAAAAGAAAAAAAAAAGAAAGACUCACACUGUGGGAGCGAUUGGUUCCUCGUUCUCGACGAAGAGAAACAGAAAAAAAAAAAAAAAAAAAAAAAAAAAGGGAAGGCCAGUUUAAGUCUAACGCGAGUUUCUUAUGAAUUUGAUUUGAAAAGAUCAACUGCAUUCGUUUUUCUUGAUUAUAUAUAUAUAUCUCUUUCUAGGCAUCUUUUUAUUCCUCCUUUUUUCUUUUAUUUUAAUGUUAUAACUAUUCUCUGCUAGAGUUCAGAUUCGUUUGAAAGUUGAUUUUUAGUUUUUUUCUAUCAUUCGUUGUAUAAAAUGAAUUUUCGUAUCACGUAGAAAGGAUCGAUGAUAACAUUCGUUUCCCGUUUCUUUACUUCUUUAAUACUGGGUGGCGAGAAAUCAAAAAAAAACCGAGCACCAGGAACCACGCUCCCUUGAAUUCGAUAGACUGUUGUCGGUUGGUCUUUUUUCUUCGGAAAAAAAAAAAAAAAAAAAAAAAAAAAAAAUUCCGAUUGAAUAUAGCAAAAAUUAAACGAAGAGAAGAAAAAAGAAAAUGAACGUCCAGAAAGUAGGAAAAAGAUAGUCCUUGAUUCAAGAAUAUAAUAAUGAAUUAUUAUAAAAAUAAAAAUAAAAUAAAAAAAAAGAAAACCUAGAAAAUGUUUGACGGAACCUCGGAAUUGUAUAUUAGAAGUAGGCAUAUGUUACUCGAAAGAUGAAAAAAAGAAAGGUAAUAAUAUUAAUAAUAAUAAUAAUAAAUAAUAUUAAUAUUAAUAAUAAUAAUAAAAGUACAUCAUAUGUGUAACCCAUUAAAAAAGAAAACAAGGUCAAGUGCUUUCUUAAUUUCCGUGCCUUUUUAAUAAGCGUAUCUAGUUUUUUCUUCUGCAUGAAUUAAUAAAUACGCCAUUCGCGUAACUUUCUAUAGAGAGCACAGUUCCUUUUUGUUUUUAAGUUUCUUUGUUCAUUCGAAUACAAAAACAGAAAAAAGAAGAAAAAAAAAAGAGGUGAAAAAGGAGAGAAAAUUUUGCACAUCGAGGCAUAAAUAUCUAUUCAUAUUUAAAAUGUUGGAGAAGAUUGCAAUUUUACUAAUCAUACCGUAGUAACCUACUAUACAUGCAGAUACUCCUUAAACGGUCAGGAUUUACAUGGAUCCUAUUUAUCGCUGUAUAUCACUUACGAUCCUCUUAACGCAGAGACACUACGUAACUCUUAUCAUACGUAACCUAACCAAUAAUCAUUCAUCUUUUUUUAUAGUCGUUCACUAUUUGCUUCUUCCUUGUUUCACGAUAACACAUAAGGAAUUGUAUUUAUUAUUUCACAGUAAGAUACUCGUGCACACGAUUCCUCUUACACUUGAAAUAAAAAAAUUGAGAAAAGGUGAGAGAAAAAGAGAGAGAGAGAAGAAAUGUUUCUUCAUCGUUUUGGUGUGAGUAAGAAAAUUGUUUGUAUUUCAUCGUAUUCUCGUCUCAUAAGUAGCCCUUUUGUACUCUGGCAUUGAUUAAUAAAAUUUUGUAAGCAACAAUCGUUGUUCCUUUUAUCCAUCAUUCCGUCCACAGCUUACAAAUGAUGUUGACUAUCAAGUUGACGUUUCAUUCCAGUAAUUUUAUUGUCAAAAUAUACACGAAUAUCAAAUGAUAUCGAGCUUCAGCGAAAUAAAUUUAUAAAAUAUUAAAAAAUACGUAAUACUGUGAAAGUGUAAUUACAUGCUAAAUGUUCCUAUAAAUAUUCGUUAUCGAACGAUUUGGUUUUUACAUCGCAGCGAUCAGAUCCCUUAUAGCUGUUCCGUUCGCUUUGCACAGACUGGCGAAGACAUGUUUUUGAUUGGUCUCUUGUUCGAGUUUCUUCGAGAUCUCAUGCGCUCUGUUUGUAAUUACAGGUGGGACACCAGCUAACCGAGCAGCAUUGAAACCGUAUGAUUUUGGACAAGCUCCCUCGCUAAGUUUGUACAAAAAUGUUACCGUCUCCUGAGAUACUUCAUCCUGUUCCUCCGUUUCUACCAUACAUGCCUGCAAAGGACAAGAUAAUAUCGAAAGUACUUUUAAAAAAUUUAGAGAGAAACCAAACAGAAUCUUGAAAAAUAUAAAACUCAUUUACGUACCAUAUGGGCUAAAGUAAUUUCUUUGGUAUUUUUAUAAUCUUCUACCAGAGAAUGAUAAUGUGUAGAGAACAAGGUGCGACAAUUCAAUUUCAGAAGUGCAUUUACAACUGAGGCGGCUAUUGCCGUACCGUCAUACGUCGACGUACCACGACCUAUUAACAGCGAAUAUCAUAUUUACUGAUGUAUUGCAUUGUAAUUUUAAUCGAACGUAUAAUUUUUACCCAAUUCAUCAAGCAGCACUAGCGAGUAUGGUGUAGCGUGCUGCAAUAUCGCGGCAGUUUCGCUCAAUUCUACCAAGAAAGUACUCUGACCAGCCAAAAUAUCGUCAUUUGCUCCGAGCCUCGUGAAAAUACGAUCUACUAAAGUCAAACGACAGGAACUUGCAGGAACGUAACUUCCCUACCAGAGAUACAAAAUAAGAAGAGCGACUUGACGCAUCAAUGUUGAUUUACCACCCAUAUUUGGUCCAGUGAGAAUCAUGAAAGAGGCAGAACUAUCGGUUCCUAGUAAAGUACUAUUUGGUAUAAAUGUGUCCGAAAGAAUACACGGAUGCCGUCCUUCUCUAACAUCAAUAAAUACCUGUCAAAAAAAUGUUUUCUUAAUAACUCUCAGCAUAUUUAAAUAUAUGAA